UUCUAUGGAAUCCUGAAGGGUUCUGUAGCCACCAGAGGACUCGGAAGCCCCACCGCAAAAGGCCUACAACACCACCUCCCAAGCACCCAUGGGCACACCAGCUGCCAGCGUCCUAGAGUGACCUGUAACCUGCCUUGGCAGAGCACCCAGAGCUCCCGGGCCGCCACUGGAGUCCUACGACUUUCCUCCCAGGGUCACAGACUCCAUCUGUUCCAUUUUUAAGAGGCCAGUCCAAAUGGUGCUAUUAUUCUGUGUCCCAGCACAGCCUGGAAAGAGUCUCUCACCGUGACUCACCACUACCGGCUCCUGAACAAUGGUCUGUGGGCUCCAUCACUCACGCUUGCUGCCCCACGGGACUGGGAAAAGCUGGUUCUAGGUGCAGACGGUGGCGGGCAGCUGAGUAACGAUCCGUGGGUGAGGACCGAUCCAGGGUGGCCUUUGGGCAUCGAGGAACAGGUGCAGCAUGAGAGGAGGUGACCCAGAGUCCCGUGAGGGAGCAGAGACUCUGCAAAAACAGAGAGAAUGAGACAGAAAGAGCACUUGAUUUGGAGUCAGCCAGACGGAUUGAAGAUGGAAAAAUUACUGACACCCUCAGAAGCUCAUUUUUCUCCUUUCCGGGCACCCUGUGUUGUUCACCAUCCUGCCCAUUGCCCCGUUCGGAUCCCAUACAAUCAAGGCUUGUCCAUUUGACGGGUUAAGUAUUUCCUGAAUCCACGCACACAGCCAUGGCCCUCUCCAGGUCGUCAUCCCCUUCUCCUGAUGGGCUGCAGCAGCCUCCCCCCAACCCUGGUGUCUCGGCUGUGGCCUUGCCCGUUGUCCACCCAUUCUCCUCUCUGGUGAGGCUGAAUGAAAUCCACCUGCGGGUCUAUCCUGCUGUAAGUCUUCCAUGACUCUCCAUACAACCUCCAUACAACCAUCUCAAGUUUGUUUGGGGCCGCCAUAUGCUUAGUUAGAAAUCCUACUUUCUAGUUUUCCUGGAAGCUUGUGACCAGGUUCUGGUCAAGGAGAUGUAAACAAAAAUCUACGGGCUGGGCUUCUAGGGAAGCCGUAUUUUCCUGAUUCAAAGGAAGGAAUUCAACUGGUACAAUGCACCUUUUUCUCUUCCCUGUUCCUGUCUGGUACC